rnacentral:ncRNA from 1 species
AUAAAAUUAUUAUUUUAUUUUAGUUAAUAUUUUUGUUAUUAUUUUAUUUUACAUGUAAAUUUUUGUAUGAAUUAAAUUAAUUUUUAAAAAAUUAAAUUUAUAAAUAUUUAUUCGCAGUAAUUAAUAUUAAUUAAAAAAGAAAUUUUGUAUUAGUAAUAAUAUAUAGUAUUGGUAAAAUUUGUGCCAGCUACCGCGGUUAUACAAAUAAUACAAAUAAAAAUUUUUAGUAUUAGUUAAAUGAUUAAAUUUAUAAUAUAAAUUUAAAUUUAUUAGGUGAAAUUUUUAAAUUUAUUUAUUUAUUAUUAUUAAAAAUAAUUUAAGCUAUAAACUUUUUAUAAUAAACUAGGAUUAGAUACCCUAUUAUUAAAAAUAAAUAUUUAAAUGCUAAAGUAGUAUUAGUUAUAUUCUUAAAAUUUAAAAAAUUUGGCGGUGUUUUAGUCUAUUUAGAGGAAUCUGUUCUGUAAUUGAUAAUUCACAUUGAACCUUACUUAAAUUUGUUUAAUUUGUAUAUCGCCGUCAUCAGAAUAUGUUAUAAGAUAAAAAUUUUCUAAAAAUUUAAUUUAAUAAAAUGUCAGGUCAAGGUGCAGUUUAUAUUUAAGUAGAAAUGGAUUACAAUAAUUUUAUUUAAAUGGAUAAUUUUUUGAAAUAAAGAUUUGAAGGUGGAUUUAAUAGUAAUAUAAAAGAGAUUAUUUAUAUGAUUUUAGCUCUAAAACAUGUACAUAUCGCCCAUCGUUCUUAUUUUUAAAAUAAGAUAAGUUGUAACAUAGUAGAUGUACUGGAAAGUGUAUCUAGAAAGA